UGAGGAACACAAUAAAGUAUGUAUGUAUGUAUGUAUGUAUGUAUGUACGUAUGUACGUAUGUACGUAUGUACGUAUGUACGUAUGUACGUAUGUACGUAUGUACGUAUGUACGUAUGUACGUAUGUACGUAUGU